CAUGACAUAACCAUCAUACAUCUGACCCAUGUCCUCCCCACAUGAUACCAUAAACUAUCCUCAACAGAUGAUUUCAUAUCAAAUUUAUUUUCCACCACAUGAACAAUCUUCACAAAUACCCAUCACUUCAUAUCACAUUCAUUUCAUUCCCAGCAGGUUGAAUUUCUGGAUAUUUUUAUUUAUUUAAUCCUCUCUUACCUUGGAUGUGUGGAAGCCGUUGCUAUCUAAACAUUCAGGUUCAAGAAGAUUAAAUAGGGGCAGGUGUCAUACCCCGAAAUUCACCCUACUUCGAUACAACUUUCAUUUGAUCCAUGGCCCUACUGCAACUGCAUGCUUUCAUUAUCUCCUCAUCAUAAUUAUAUUAACUUUCAUAACCAAAUACAUAUUGCAUGGGAUCAAGGCACGAUUUAAAAAAAAAAAAGAGGAAAAGGGGGGACACCGGAUUUUGCCUUGCACACUCCAAAAAAAGAGAGCCUUUUUUGCACAAAGGGUAUUUGGUUCCCCCCAUUUUCCCACUAACUUUCCCUAUAAAUAGAUGCACCAUUUCCCUUCAUUUUUCAUGCUUUCUAGCCCCCAAAAAUGAUGAAAAAAUAUCAUUCAACUCCUCUUCUCCAAACCUAAAUCAAAACCCAAAAAAAAC
rnacentral:lncRNA from 1 species